AGAUUAUCUGGUAAUUAUUUCUAUCACUUUCAUCUGGGUGUAAACACUUUGUCGCUAGGUCACGAAGCUGAUUGUUCAUCCUUCGCACUUCUUUCGUCAUCAUGGGACUGAAACAGGAGCAUUUUGACAAAAUAAUUCCCGGCGAAUUUAUUUGUACCCAUUGCCACGAUGUAUUUCUAGAGCCAGUUUGCUUAGCUUGUCAACAUGUGCUAUGUAAAAAGUGUUUCAAGAAGAGGAUGAAACGCAAAACACCUACGUGUCCUGUUUGCAAGAAAGCCCUGUAUUUGGGCGACCAAAAUACUGAUGGGGAAUGGAGAGAGCAGUACGAAAGCCUGCAAGUCAACUGUCCGAAGGGAUGCGAGAAAGUGUUGUCGCUAGGAAAACUAAGUGAUCAUUACGGUAAUCACUGCCCACUGACUUUCACUGUUUGCGUGAACAUCGGUUGUAAUCGGAAGGUACGGCGAAGAGACCUUCCAUUACACCUCCAAAGUUGUGACUUCAGAGUCGUACAGUGCGAGGGAUGUGGGUUCUCAACAAAAUAUGUCGAUUUACGAAUGCAUCAAAUCGUUCAGAAGUGUCUCCUAAGGACUCGUUUGCACAUGAUUGUGCAGAACCGCCGUGAAAUGACCGCGCGAGUGAAACAGCAUCGUCUGAAACUGCGGGAGGAAAGUUUUCAAGUCGAGCUCGAGGAAAGAGAUUUGGAUCGCGCAAAGAUGUGGAGUGCUAUUGCCAGGAACGAAAUUUCAAGAACAAGCAGUGCAAAUCAUCUUUCAUACGGAGGGAGACAGUCUCCAGAAGUUACUCGUUACAAAGGAGCUUUAUCGAGAGUGGUUUAUAGCGCUCCAUCAUCUCCGGUGAUGUCCUCUGCAGUGACGUCUAAAACUCUUGCUAGUGACACCAAACUAUGUACUAAUUGCAAUAAGCUUUUCAGUGAACACCGUAAUCAUGAGGAAGCUUGCAGGUGGCACAAAGGGCCGGUAUGUACAUUUAACAUCUAUCUGUUGAAUGCUUUUUCUAUUUAACAUUAAUUUGUAAAGUAUUAUCAAUAUACAAUACAUGAGUUUACCAAGUCCCCAUUCUUGAAAAACUUAAUGCUACAGUGCUUCCAAGUGGAGCUGGUGUUUGUUGCUAGAAACUCUCUGCUUUGUUUCAUAACAUUUUUAAUCUGUGUUAGUUUUGAUACUAGCUUCAGGGUGUUAUUUGAGAAUUUACAAUUUUUUUUAGGAUGAGACUCCUCAAAUGAAGGUUAACCUCGUCCAAGCAAAAGAUUUACAAUCAGCCAUUCCCAAAAUACAACCCCUUCCCUACCAAGUUUAUGUUUUAUAGUCAAUUAGAAACAGACAAUUCAAAGGUGCUGUAAUCCAUUUAAGUUGAAAUUCAGCAUCUUUCCUCUAAUCUGGAGUUAAACCUGUACAAUAGAUCUGAUUUUUUUUAUUCCUUCUUUUAUGUGCCAUGGAAAGGUUGUGGAUGUGGUAAGUGACUAAUUUGUUUUUUCAGACCUAGGAAUGAUUUUAUUACUUAAUCAACAACUGCAUCCGUAAGUGGAGGUUGGGUGCCUGAAACAUCCAGGGGCUUACACUAUUGACAGCCAGCUCCUAGAUGGAGACUUCUCCCAUGGCUGGAAAAUCCUGGCAACCUAGCCAUACAUCCCCACACAGGAAAGGGAAAAAGGCACCUGCCACACUGAAUAAACAGUAGAAAGAAGGAGGGAAGUGGGUGGGGAAAACUGCCACUCCUCAUAAUGCUGCAGGUUCAUGCUCAAAGCCUGAGACCAAAGGCACAUGGAAUUCUGAUGCAUGUGCAUAUGCAAAAAAAAACUGCUAACUACUAGAGAAUGCUGAUGCUCUUUGUCAUUAACUCCAUUAAAUUGCAUUUAACUGCAUCGUAAAAAAGAAAAUGAACAAGUUAAACUUUUGGGUGAAUCCAGUUGCUCAUUUAUGUCAUGUGACUUGACUCUGAAGAAAACAUAAAUGAAAAUUAUUACUUCCAGCCAAAUUUGAAGAGAAGCAUACAGUUUGUAAAAUUAUCUCAAGAACACAAUAUACAGACUGUUCCCCAGAGAAACCUUUUUUCCUUUCUUAUUUGUCACCCUCAUGUUGAAUUUCAGAGGAAUUUGAGUUACCUUAAAACAGAUCAUGCCUGCUAUCACUAAUUUUUCUUUUGUUUCUUUUUUUCCAACUGUGACAAUGUCCUUCUCUUCAGUUUGGGGUAAGUUCUUCUUCUUACAUCUGAUUUCACAAAAUGGUUACAGUUCAUAUUUAAUGCAUUAAAGGUUUGAGCCACCAGCAAGAUUUUGUUGAAACAGGAAAAUAUUUUUUCCGCUGAAUUUUUGCGUUUCAUGGAGCCUUGGAAAAAACUGAAAUUUGAGGGUAACAUUUUUGAGUGUUUUGUUAUAUAACACAACAAAGACAGUAGAAGAUGUAAAGAGAAAAC